rnacentral:rRNA from 1 species
GACGAACGCUGGCGGCGUGCUUAACACAUGCAAGUCGAACGGAAAGGCCCUGCUUUUGUGGGGUGCUCGAGUGGCGAACGGGUGAGUAACACGUGAGUAACCUGCCCUUGACUUUGGGAUAACUUCAGGAAACUGGGGCUAAUACCGGAUAGGAGCUCCUGCUGCAUGGUGGGGGGUGGAAAGUUUCGGCGGUUGGGGAUGGACUCGCGGCUUAUCAGCUUGUUGGUGGGGUAGUGGCUUACCAAGGCUUUGACGGGUAGCCGGCCUGAGAGGGUGACCGGCCACAUUGGGACUGAGAUACGGCCCAGACUCCUCCGGGAGGCAGCAGUGGGGAAUAUUGACCAAUGGGCGGAAGCCUGAUGCAGCACCGCCGCGUGGGGGAUGACGGCCUUCGGGUUGUAAACCGCUUUCGCCUGUGACGAAGCGUGAGUGACGGUAAUGGGUAAAGAAGCACCGGCUAACUACGUG